rnacentral:rRNA from 1 species
GCUUACGGCCACACCGCCUGGUUCACGCCCGAUCUCGCUUUGAUCUCGGAAGCUAAGGUAGGUUGGGCCUGGUUAGUACUUGGAUGGGAGACCGCCUGGGAAUACCAGGUGCUGUAAAGC